rnacentral:rRNA from 1 species
GGAUUAGAUACCCCACUAUGCUAAGCCCUAAACUUGAAUUACACCACCCAACGCCAGGGAAUUACGAGCCAUGCUUAAAACCCAAAGGACUUGACGGUAACCCAUCCACCUAGAGGAGCCUGUUCUACAACCGAUAGUCCCCGUUUCACCUCACCCCCACUAGAUUUCUCAGCCUGUAUACCUCCGUCGCAAGCUUACUGUAUGAACACAAAAUAGUGAGCUCAAUUAACCAACCUUAAAUACGUCAGGUCAAGGUGCAGCCUAUGUAGGGGCAGCAAUGGGCUACAAUUUCUAAAUUAGAACAAACUAACAGUCACAUGAAACUGUGACCCAAAGGCGGAUUUAGUAGUAAGAGCGGAACAGAGAGCCCCUCUUAACUCGGACCUGGGCUAUGUACAAACCGCCCGUCACCCUCUUCUACACUAAACGCCCCAUAUUUAAUAUAUACUCCAACUCAAGAAGAGGCAAGUCGUAACAUGGUAAGUGUACUGGAAAGUGCACUUUGAACAA